GACGAACGCUGGCGGCGUGCUUAACACAUGCAAGUCGAGCGGUAAGGCCCUUUCGGGGGUACACGAGCGGCGAACGGGUGAGUAACACGUGGGUGACCUGCCCUCAGCUCUGGGAUAAGCCUGGGAAACUGGGUCUAAUACUGGAUAUGACUCCACGGUGCAUGUCGUGGGGUGGAAAGCCUUGUGCGGCUGAGGAUGGGCCCGCGGCCUAUCAGCUUGUUGGUGGGGUGANGGCCUACCAAGGCGACGACGGGUAGCCGGCCUGAGAGGGCGACCGGCCACACUGGGACUGAGACACGGCCCAGACUCCUACGGGAGGCAGCAGUGGGGAAUCUUGCGCAAUGGGCGAAAGCCUGACGCAGCGACGCCGCGUGAGGGAUGACCGGCC
rnacentral:rRNA from 1 species